rnacentral:rRNA from 1 species
AACGAACGCUGGCGGCAUGCCUAACACAUGCAAGUCGAACGAGCCCUUCGGGUCUUGUGGCGCACGGGUUCGUAACGCGUGGGAACCUGCCCUUAGGUUCGGACUAACUCCCCGAAAGGGGUGCUAAUACCGGAUCAUGUCUUCGGACCAAAGAUUUAUCGCCUUUGGAUGGGCCCGCGUUGGAUUAGCUAGUUGGUAGGGUAAAAGCCUACCAAGGCGACGAUCCAUAGCUGGUCUGAGAGGAUGAUCAGCCACACUGGGACUGAGACACGGCCCAGACUCCUACGGGAUGCAGCAGUGGGGAAUAUUGGACAAUGGGCGAAAGGCUGAUCCAGCAAUGCCGCGUGAGUGAUGAAGGCCUUAGGGUUGUAAAGCUCUUGUACCCGGGAUGAUAAUGACAGUACCGGGACAAUAAGCUCCGGCUAACUCCGUG